GAUGAACGCUGGCGGCGUGCCUAAUGCAUGCAAGUCGAGCGAACGGACGAGAAGCUUGCUUCUCUGAUGUUAGCGGCGGACGGGUGAGUAACACGUGGAUAACCUACCUAUAAGACUGGGAUAACUUCGGGAAACCGGAGCUAAUACCGGAUAAUAUUUUGAACCGCAUGGUUCAAAAGUGAAAGACGGUCUUGCUGUCACUUAUAGAUGGAUCCGCGCUGCAUUAGCUAGUUGGUAAGGUAACGGCUUACCAAGGCAACGAUGCAUAGCCGACCUGAGAGGGUGAUCGGCCACACUGGAACUGAGACACGGUCCAGACUCCUACGGGAGGCAGCAGUAGGGAAUCUUCCGCAAUGGGCGAAAGCCUGACGGAGCAACGCCGCGUGAGUGAUGAAGGUCUUCGGAUCGUAAAACUCUGUUAUUAGGGAAGAACAUAUGUGUAAGUAACUGUGCACAUCUUGACGGUACCUAAUCAGAAAGCCACGGCUAACUACGUGCCAGCAGCCGCGGUAAUACGUAGGUGGCAAGCGUUAUCCGGAAUUAUUGGGCGUAAAGCGCGCGUAGGCUGUUUUUAAGUCUGAUGUGAAAGCCCACGGCUCAACCGUGGAGGGUCAUUGGAAACUGGAAAACUUGAGUGCAGAAGAGGAAAGUGGAAUUCCAUGUGUAGCGGUGAAAUGCGCAGAGAUAUGGAGGAACACCAGUGGCGAAGGCUACUUUCUGGUCUGUAACUGACCCUGAUGUGCGAAAGCGUGGGGAUCAAACAGGAUUAGAUACCCUGGUACUCCACUCCGUAAACGAUGAGUGCUAAGUGUUAGGGGGUUUCCGCCCCUUAGUGCUGCAGCUAACGCAUUAAGCACUCCGCCUGGGGAGUACGACCGCAAGGUUGAAACUCAAAAGGGAAUUGACGGGCACCCGCACAAGCGGUGGAGCAUGUGGUUUAAUUCGAAGCAACGCGAAGACCUUUACCAAAUCUUGACAUCCUUUGACAACUCUAGAGAUAUAGCUUUCCCCUUCGGGGGACAAAGUGACAGGUGGUGCAGGGUUGUCGUCAGCUCGUGUCCUGAGAUGUUGGGUUAAGUCCCGCAACGAGCGCAACCCUUAAGCUUAGUUGCCAUCAUUAAGUUGGGCACUCUAAGUUGACUGCCGGUGACAAACCGGAGGAAGGUGGGGAUGACGUCAAAUCAUCAUGCCCCUUAUGAUUUGGGCUACACACGUGCUACAAUGGACAAUACAAAGGGCAGCGAAACCGUGAGGUCAAGCAAAUCCCAUAAAGUUGUUCUCAGUUCGGAUUGUAGUCUGCAACCCGACUACAUGAAGCUGGAAUCGCUAGUAAUCGUAGAUCAGCAUGCUACGGUGAAUACGUUCCCGGGUCU
rnacentral:rRNA from 1 species